rnacentral:rRNA from 1 species
GAUGAACGCUAGCUACAGGCUUAACACAUGCAAGUCGAGGGGAAACGACAUCGAAAGCUUGCUUUUGAUGGGCGUCGACCGGCACACGGGUGAGUAACGCGUAUCCAACCUGCCCACCACUUGGGGAUAACCUUGCGAAAGUAAGACUAAUACCCAAUGGCGUCUCUAGAAGACAUCUGAAAGAGAUUAAAGAUUUAUCGGUGAUGGAUGGGGAUGCGUCUGAUUAGCUUGUUGGCGGGGUAACGGCCAACCAAGGGGACGAUCAGUAGGGGUUCUGAGAGGAAGGUCCCCAACAUUGGAAACGAGACACGGUCAAAACUCCUACGGGAGGCAGCAGUGAGGAAUAUUGGUCAAUGGGCGAGAGCCUGAACCAGCCAAGUAGCGUGCAGGAUGACGGCCCUAUGGGUUGUAAACUGCUUUUAUAAGGGAAUAAAGUGAGUCUCGUGAGACUUUUUGCAUGUACCUUAUGAAUAAGGACCGGCUAACUCCGUGCCAGCCGCCGCAGUAA